AAGCGCUUAUGACCAGACUUGGGCCCGGUUAAUCAUCCAGCGUUCUCGCUGGUGCACUUGGCCGGCCCAGGCCAGCAUCAGUUCGGCGUGGGGGAUAAAGGCGGCGGGAAUGUGGCUCCUCCGGGAGUGUUAUAGCCCACCGUGUAAUACCCUGUGCUGGACUGAGGUUCGCGCAUUCGCAAGGAUGCUGGCGUAAUGGUCAUUAGCGA
rnacentral:rRNA from 1 species